ACCCUGUCCAGCGUGGCUACUGCCGCUGCCGCUGCCUCCGCCUCUGCCUCUGGAGGCCGCAGGGGAAAGGACAAGAUGGGAUGUCGCGGCACGUCUUUUGGUUCAUGGCUAGAAAUGUACAGCCAUAAGAGGCUCAAAGAGAGGGGAACUGAAGUGAGAGGGGGAACAAGGGACAGAAGGAAUUCGCGGCGACUGUUGAUGACGCCACACCCACGUGUAUCGCUGUUUCCGGUGUGUUGCUCUCAGUGGGGGGUUUCUUUUGUUUUCUUUCUUUUUUUUUUUUUUUAGGUUGUUUGCAGUUAGCGCCCAGCGGGAUGCAAGGAUGGACUCUGAAAGAUAAAGCGAAGAAAAGAUCUCGGGAAGGAAGUGUUGCUGGCCGGUACUCACACACCUAUGUCGCGUUUGUAUGAAAUGAUCUGGGCUCUUGUUUUUUGAUUCAUUCAGCCUCGGGUGGGAUUGUUGUUUUGUGGUACAAAUUAUCGAAUGCUGCUCUUGGUGUGUUCUGUAGCUUCCCUAUCGUCUGUGAGCAGGGGGGAAAGUUCGGCUUUAUUUUCGCACUUUACAUUCUGAAGUUGUUAUUUGCAUUUGAAUUGGAGCAAUUAUAGCACACAGAGUUAGGGACCUGGAGACUGCCCUGGGGGAAGGACUGGCAGAGUGCUCUCUUGGACCGCUUUCAAAUCUUUUGGACAGAAAAUAAAGCAAAACUUUCCUUCGGGCAUUUUUUCCCUCGGGGCUUUUAGCUCCCAGUGCAGCUGUUUGGCUGGGGGUGGGUGGUGGUGGUGGGGGACAGAUGGGGAGUGGAGGAGGUCAAGUAAUACCUAAGGUCCAAAGAGGUUUAUUGCUGGUGAGAGAAUUUGCAGCACUCUGGGCAUUUGAAAUUCUUCUGUGCUAGCUGUUUGUUUAGUAUGCCAAGUCAGUAACAGCAUGAAAUCUUGCGCUCAUCAAAACCUUAAGCAAACUUUUCAUGCUUCAGAACUGUCCAGCCUGCUGCUUUGUUAAUGAGAGAACAAGAGUGCAGCAGGUAAUCCAAGUUAAAUUUUUCUGAGCAUCCUAUUUCUCUGGGAGACUUGUUAAAAACACAGACUGAUGGGUGUCACUAAUAGAGUUGUUUCAUCAGCUUUUGUGGGAUGUUUUCCAGAAUUUAAGUUUCUAACAAUUUCCAGGAAAAAGCACUGGACCACCAUAGGACCACCGUUGGAAAACUGCUGAGCUACCAUUCCUAUCCAGCCUGUGUCUCUGUGUAUCUGCAUAGCUAUGAAUGUGGCCCAGCACAUUUCUAGACCAUAACUUCAUGCCACAAUGCCAAGCAUUUGAACACAGCCUGGAACAGAGCUGACAUGUAACUUGAAGGUGUUACUGGAGGACUUCAGUGCAAAUUACCAAGUAGUGUUGCUGCUGACCUGGGUCAGAGUGCUCCCUCAUAGUAACAAGAAAACAUUAUUUAUUCUUUUAUUAAAACUGAGGCAAGACCUUCUAAGUCUGUCUCCGCCUUACCCAAAGCAGUGUUACAAAUUAUAGAAAAAAAUGAAGCACAUAUCAGGAAAUGUGUGUCUAUAGUUUGAGCUAUGGAUUCAGGUUACAAGAACUGGCAACUAGUUCUUCCUCCACGUACCAAAUACUAGGUACCAGGACCUUUGGGUUGAUCCAUUACCACUACCCAAAUGGUAUUUCUUGUGGGGAUCAUAAUUCCUGGGAACCCAUACUAGUGGAGAACUCUAGGAAGCCUAGAACACUCCCAAAUGAAUUUUGUUUAUAUGUGACAUGGAAACAUUUUUGUGUGUAUGUGAUGCCCGUGUGUGCCAAAGGUCAACCCUGUGUCCUUCCUUAGGCACCAUCCACCUUAUUUUUGUUUUUGUUUGUUUGAGACAGGGUCUUACUGUGUUCCUCUGUCUGGUAUCAAACUCAAAAAGAUCCGCCUGCCUCUGCCUCUGCCUCUGCUUACUGCAUGCUAGGACUAAAGGUGUGCCCCACCACACCCAGGCUCACCUGGUUUUUUUGAGACAGGGUCUCCUACAGGCCUGGGAUUCGCCAGUUAUGCUAGGCUGGCUAGCCAGCAAGCUCCAGGGCUUUGCUUUUCUCUGCCCAAUAGUGGCAGGACCACCACACUACAUUUUUAGGUGAGUUCUGGCGAUUGAACUCAGGUCUUCAUGCCUGCAUGACAGGCACUUUACUUGAGUGAGCCAUCUCCCCAGCAUAAUAGAAACAGCUUAUCAUUAGUAGAGCCUGGUCUGGUAUACCUGUAAUUUUAACACUUGGGAAGCAGAGGAAGGAAGAUCACAUUUUCAAGGCAAACCUGCCCUGUAUAAGGAGACCUUGUCUGGAAAAAAAAAAAAAAACCAAAGAAACCAACUGUUUAUAAUUAGCACUGAUGUAGUGAUAUUCUUGCAAGGUAAGCCCACCAGAGACCACCACACAGACAGUCUUAAAGGUAAAAAGAAAGUGUUUAUUGCCAGCUGGCAGCUGCACGGGGAACUUGCUCAAAUCAUGCAGCCCUGAGCCUUAUAACCCUUUGGAUUUUAUGCACAAAAACCACAUGCUGGUUAUCACACUUCAGUUAGCAAGAAGCAGAGCUUCAGAAGCAGAAAGCAGGGUUCACAAGGGACCUUAACUACAGACUAGGUCUUGGAUGUGCUAGAUCUUUGUUCCCAUUUUGGCAGGUGUUGGGACCUACUUGCUGGGUGCCUCUAACAUGGUGUCAGUUGUGCUAAGGUCUCUUAGAAGUCUAUUAAGGUUUUUUAGUCAUUUUUAAAUUGAGUUGUUUUUUUUUCUCCUGCUUUAUAUAGAAUUCCUUAUAGAUACUGAUAUCGAACCUCUUAGUAAUCUUUCAGUUUUAUUACCAUCUGGAUGUUGUCUCUAUACUCUAAUGGUUAUAAUCCUGUUUAUCUAUGGUUGCUUUUGUUGCUUUUGGGUUCAAAUCUAAAAAUCUUUGUAGACAAUAUCAUUCGAUUUUCUUCCUUCUUGUCUAGUUGUUUUACAGUUGGAGGUCUUUUUUUUUCCAGAGCUGAGGACCGAACCCAGGGCCUUGUGCGUGCUAGGCAAGCACUCUACCACUGAGCUAAAUCCCCAACCCCCAUUUGAAGGUCUUAUAUUUGGCUUUAACAAACCCAGUGGCUUUGUGUUGUCAAAACUAUCAGUUGAGCAUGUAGCAUUUAGACCGUAAUCCCAUCACUUGGGACUGUGAAGCAGAAAGGUGACUGUGGGUUUGAGGGCAAGCAGGGAUGCAUGUUGACUUCCUACCAAAAAAUAAAACAAAAAAAAAAACAAACAAAAGUGCAAACAUAAUGGACCAGUGGGGAUUCUAUACCAGGAACUAAGAUUAUAAAAUGUUAUAAAAUGUCUCUCCUGCUUAGGUACAUGAUGGAAGUUAAAGAGGUACAGCUUUCGGGUUAACACAUUGAACAUAGUACAUUGAAAGAAAGGGUUGAUUCAGCAGCUAAAAUGGGUCACAAUAUACUGCUCACUGAAGAGGAAAAUGAAUUCCCACUUCAGAAUAAAUGAUAAUAAUGUACCUCAAACAUAGAUUUGAGGAAAUGUCAACAAAUGAAAAAAGGGUAGGCCAGGUAUUUUAUAUGUUUUAGCAUAAAAAAUGCCUGGGUGCAAGUACCUGUUGGCCCUCCCAGGAACUCCUUGGGGUCAAACCAGUGAUGAAGUCUCAUGAAGAAGCAUAUUGCCAUUUCUGGUGUGUUGAUAAGAUUGGAGCAUCUUCUGGUUAUUAUGGUGAGCAGCUGGCGGGAUCUAAGGGAGGGCAGCAGUGGACAGACUAAGGGAAGAUAAGAUCAGUAAGAAAGUUAUUGCCAGCCAGGACACACAUAUCUGCGUUGUGUCUGGACAGAAUGAGUUGAAUGCCUUGGUUUCCAGUUCCGAUGAUGGUAAGUAGAUUGCUUUGUGUUAAGUACCAAGUGCCAGACUCUGCUUUUAUGAGUACUGCCUUUGAAGCUCUGGAUGAGCAAAAGGAGUAACACUUUAUUUUUGCCCUUUGCAGCCUACCAGUUGCCAUCUGCUUUGAAGCACAGACACUUAUAAAAAUAAUGGUUUGGAGGCUGAUCCAUAUUGUAUCAGGAAAACUUAUCCGGAAUCACAGACUGCCCUGUAGGAGUCUGGGACAGGAACUUUGAUGUUAAAACGUUGGUGCAUAAACAUACUUUAGAAAUAAAUUAUAGUAAAACUUUCUUUCAGGCAUGUUUCUGAUAAGUUUAGGUUCCCGUGCACCAACUUGGACUGACAGGCUGUAACUUUUGUCCCAACACAGCUUAAUCCUGGUCAGACCACUUGCCUGUGCAAUAGCGGGACACCUACAAAAGAAUCUAUGUUUCUUGAUGAUAGCUAGGGUUUCCCAUUCCACAUAGAGCUCGUAAUCUCUAGUCAGGACGACAGUAAGACAGGAACUCAGGGCUGGGCUUAGCGCUCAUGAACAUUUGCAAUUCACAUUUUUCCCUAGCCAACUCGAACUUGCAACUGUGAACUGUGUACCUGCCCUAAACUCUAAACGCAUUUUCAAUUAUUUUGAUAAUCCAAUCUGCUGCUUUGUUCACUAGAGAAACCACUCUAAGUUCAGGCAGUCAAAGUUAGUGCUUCUCAGAUUUCUCUGUGCCUCCAACCCAGCAAAAGGAAUGGUUAGCACAAAGAGAGCUAGGUUGGUCAGUUUUGUUUGGAGGUCACCUGAAUGUAAAUCUGAAAUAAAUUCCCUGGAGAUUCCACUACUAUUCUCCUGAUGCCUAAUACAGAGCUGAAAUUGGGGAGCCUGAAAGUGUUACUGGAGCCUACAGCCAUAAGGCAUGACCUAGAUGAGAAUGGUCUUCCACAUGGAUUAUUAUACAUGGUAAAACCACAUUAUAUAUAUACAUAAAUAUGAACAUGAAUUUUCAAAGGUAUUUUUAUUAUUUUUCAAAUUAUAUGCAUUGGUGUUUGUGUCUGUACGUGUGUGACAUGUACGCAGAUGCCUACAGAGGCCAGAAUGGGUUGUUGGAUCCCUUGGAGCUCAAGUUGUAGGUGGUUGUGAGCCACCUGAUGUGGAUGCUGGGAACUGAACUCAAGUCCUUUGGAAGAGCAGCAAGUGCCCUUAACUGCCGAGCCGUUUCUCCAGCUCCCAUGAAUCUUAAUCUGCCUAUAGUUUUGGCAGAAUCUGGGAAACCAGAAAUUGUCAGUUGUCUCCCCACUUUCCGUAGUGGUGUUAAAAGAGAAAAAGAGAGAAAACCAAGUUCAAGAAGAUGGGCACGUGUGGAAUAAGCUGUGGAUUCACUGAUGAGAACUAGGAAAUUAGUAUUGCUGGUGCCAGGGGACAAGGCUAUGGGCUGUGGUUCAUUUGCACUCCAAGCAUGACAUUUCCUUCAGUAAUCCUGAUUCGUAGCUCCCCUUAUACAGGACUUCUGUAUGGGAUCGUAGAUGUGAAUGAUAGCACACUAGAGAGAAAGGCAAAUACAUCUUAUUCUCGCAGUACAUAUAAACUCUUGAUAUUUUAUUUACACUAUUUUCUUGUACAUUGAAAAGUUGUGCAUGUAUAUGGAGACACAGUAUUAUAUGUGUGUAAUAUGGAAUGAUGAAAUCAAGAGAAAUAACUUUCUGACAUCCAAAAUACUGUUGUUUUCUGAUGUGAACAUUUGAAAUGUUUUCUUAGUGAUUUUGAAACUUAUGGCACCUUGUUGUUAAUAGUAGUCCCCAUCCAUUGCAGUAAUCUCAAAAAAAUCCCUCCGAUCUAAUUGAAAAUUCAACUCAUUUCUUCAUUUCCAUUCUCUAUACCCUCCAGGCACAUCAUUCAACUCUGCUACCAUGAAUAUGAUUGACUUAGAUUUCCACAACAGGUGAGAAGAUAGAGAAUUGGUCCUGUGCAGGCCUGGCUGUUUUCAUGUCAUACAUAUGUCAUCUGUGCUGUUGCAAAUGGCAGGGGAUUGGGAAGUCUUGUGAGCAGACAGAUGUCUGGGAGAACAGAAAAUUGGAAGAUUGUUCAGGGCCUCACUAGCAGUAUAAAAAGGAGUAAACAACUGCUGGGUUUGGAGACUGCUAAACCCAACCUCAGCGAGAAGAGAUUCUCGGACUAUCAAGCCACCUGCAAGCUGAAAAGCGCUCCAGGGUUACUUGCAGCCUUUGUGAACAUCACCCAUGUUGAGGUGGACUUUGGUGAAGAUCAUCCUCUAUGCCAUGCCAUGGAGGUCCAACCUCACCAAAACUGGCAACUGAGAACUAGUAAGCCUGGCAGAGAACUGAUAUGGCCUAGACCUGCUGACUCCAAUUGCCCUCUCCGAGCCUGGGGUGACGCUGCAGGUAACAGGUAAGUCCAUUGACUUUCUUUUGGACAUGGGAGCUACCUAUUCUGUUUUGACAUCUCACUCAGGUCCUACAGUUCCCUCACCAAUUUCUGUCAUGGGGGUGGACGGGAUCCCUUCCUUCCCACUUAAGACUCUUACACUUCCCUGCAUUCUUGCAGGGCGAGCCUUCUCACACUCUUUUUCUGGUCAUAACUGCUUGCCCUGUACCUCUGCUGGUUCGCAAUGUUCUCAGCAAAAGGCCACACUCACCUUGGCCCCCACACUCUCCUGAGUGUUUCACAGGUCCAUUCACAGGGGCCCUCCAGAUAUGUCAGCCUCUGCACCAGCUUCGAGGACACCAACCAGGAAAGGUUGAGAAGGCCAAUGGACUCAUCAAACGACAGCUCACCAAGCUCUCCACUGAACUCAGAAACUUGUCUUCUUUGCCUCCUGAAGAAACAGAUGCCUAAGGUCUCCAGGAUGAGAGUUAACCGGAUGCUCCUCCACUCAUAUCUCCUGCUGAAUGAGAAGGUGCCUGAUAGGUGGGGACAUGAAUUACAGUCUGUGUGAGCUACCAGAAACGGCUGCUGGGAAUUGAACCCAUAUCCUCUGGAAGAGCAGCCGGUGCUCUUAACUGCUGAGCCAUCUCUUCAGCCUCAUCAUUUUUUUUUUAAAGCUAAGUUUUGAGUAUUAUGCUGGGCAUGGUGGCGCAUGCAUGUAGUUUCAGCAUCUGAGAGGUGAUCACAGGUUAUGAGUUCAAGGACAGCCUGCCCUAUGUGACAUUUUUUAUUACUCCUCUGUAAAAAAAAAAAAAAAAAAAAGAAAGAAAAAAAAAGAAAAGCAAAACAAAACCAAACAAAAACCAAACAGGCUCCUGAGAUUGCUCUUGCUAUGGCCUGACCAUUGGAGAGGCUCCUGACUUAGGAAUUGGGCUUUAUUCUUGCCCUUUACAUCCUUCUGGUUGCCAUCUCAUAUUAAACAGGGACAAUCAGAGCACAAAGAGUAAGAAUAAAUACAUUUUAUCAUUUGGAUGGUAAUUCUUUUGUUCUACCCAGAUCCCAAGCUUGGUAAACAAGAAGAGGGACCUCAAGGACUGCCCACUGGCCUUUGGUGCUUAGCAGCAGGGAGCUUCUGUGACAGGUGGAAGCAUCCGGUCUUGGCCUUGCUUCCUGCCCUGGCCAGUCUGGAACUCUUCAGCAGCUUCAUAUUCAACUGAUAACAGUUAGCCAUCUUUCUUGGCCUGAUAGCUUCCGCUUGGAUGAUGCCCUUGCCCGUUGCUCUCUGCUGCUGCUUUGUGUUAUCAGCUCAGCCUGCACUACUAAGUGUAGGGCAACAACAGGAUAUCUGAGAGGCGUUUUGAUGAAGGCCCAGUGAUGACUGUGUACCAGAAGAGAGAGGCCUUGAAUCAGAUCAAUGACUCAUUGUAAUGGGGCUGAUUGAACAAAAGGAUGUACUACAUGACACCCUGUAGCUCCUGGACGCCACUAGGAUGAAUGAAGAGGUGUUGGAAAGAUGGAGGAGUGAGUAGGUAGUCAAGUGGACAGAAAUCGGAGAACACCGUCAACCUCUGUGAAGAACAAGUGGAACUGAGUUUGUUUAGCCUUUAUCUAGGCUGUUUAGAGAUGGUGCUACAUCCGCAUAUUUCAAAGGUACUGGGAGGUGAAUCCAAGGAACCAGGGAACUUAUGCAUUCUCAGCCAGACCAACCCUCUUCUCUUCAGACCUGAGCUACACAGCUUUUUACAGAGCUCCUUCCCUCCCCUCCCAAACUAACAAAGCAUCCUACAGUGCCUUUCUGGUGCAAAGACCGUUCCUGCUGGGAGAGGCACUAUUUGAUUUUUCUCUCAGACUUCUCUCUCCUUCUCCACAUGGGGGAGAGUUCCUCAGGCUACUGAUUUGAGUGGAAUUCUGUGCGGAGAGUCUGGAGAUCUAUCUUCAAGUUAAGCCUUUGCAGAUGUUGAUUCAUUUAAACCUCAUUACAGUGCUAUGAAGAGCCUCCCGUUAUUGUCUUCGCUUUACCAAUGUGGAACUUGAAGUUUUCCCAAAUGCGUAUACCUGCUAAGGGAAGGAAUACCCAAAUCAUGCCUUUCCUUCCUUUAUUUACCAUUCCAGGGUACAAAACCCUGGUUAACCACCUUGAUACAUAAUAUAGUAUAUUAUAAUAGAAAUAUAAUUUCUCUAAAAGCAGAGCUAUAUAUAGUUCAAGGGUAGACCACUUGCCUACUCUAUUUAAGUCCCUGGGUUUGAGCCUUAGCACUGAAAAAAUAAACUUCGUAUACCACUAAGCCACUGCCUGAUGAAGUCCAAAAGGUGCAUUGAGAACAUGACUUAAUUAGCACAGCUUUGCUUGUUCAAACUAAAGCAAUUAUCUUCUUUUUCACCAAUAUAUCCUUGAGAAGUUGUGUAGCCCCACCAAAGGAAGGUUUAUAGUAGUCAAAAGAAGGUAGUGAUGUCCUUUCAUUAUAGUAGGAGAACAUGGAACCAGCUCUCCUCAACAUCUAGAGAUGUGGUAUUCAGCUAGGGUAAAGAUGAGGUAGUUGGAACUAUGGGUUCAGAAUUCUGUAUACACUAUCUUGAGGCAAAAUUCUUUCAUUGGUCUUUAGCCUGAGAGUCUGCAUCAACUUUGAGGAAGAAGAAUUGCUGUGAUCAGUGAUUGUUCCUUUUCUUAAAGGUAUUCUGAAUCUGGAGACCUCAUUGCUGUUCCAUGUUUGGGGAUGGAGGGCAAGCUUUCCAUACAGCUUGUUUUCACAGCAAUUAUAAUCUCUCCCAUUUAUAUACUUCAGAAACAAUGAUAGAAUGUUUAAGUCACCAUGAUACGUAUUUCCCUAGUAUUACCCUUGUAUGCUGAAGAAAUAGGGAAUAAGUGUUGAGAGUACUCAAGUACAUAUAAUCAGAUGGAUCAGUCAUCUUUCAAGUCAGGGAUGGAAGAGAAUGGACUGCUCUUGUGAGUGGUUGGUAGUCUAGAUGAGAUGUUAUUGUGGGGUGUGUGAGGGUAGUGGUAAGGGAGACAGAAGUAGAAAGACACAAGAAAAACUAUAGAAAUACAUGAUGGGGCAUGUUGACAGAUGUGAAGGAGAGUCAUAGAUAACACUCAUCUUAAGAUUUUGAUUGGGAAUGUCAUUCAGUGGUAAAGUGCAUGCCUAUGCACAAGAACUUAGGUUCAUCUUCAGCAUUAAAAAGAAACUUGUUGAUUUCAACAGCUAGUGAACUAUGGUAAUAUUUGCUGAAAAAGAAGCAACUGAAAUGGAAAUAACAGAGGAGCAGAAUUUUUGGAAUUUAUUUAAAUUUUAUUUAUUUUUAGAUGUAUAAGUGUUUUUUGGUUGCUUCUCUGUAUCUGUACCAUGUGUAGUGCCCCUGAAGGCCAGAAGGAGGCAUCAGAUCCUCUGAAGCUGGACUUACAGGCAGUUGUAAGCUGCUUAAUGCAAGUGCUGGAAACCAAACUUGCUAGAGCCUCUGCAAGAUAAGCCAGUGAUCUUAACUGCUGAGCCAUCCCUCCAGGCUAGGGAGCAUUUUAAUUUUUUUUUUAAAAAAAAAUCUGUUUUGAGGGUGUUUGGUUUAAGUUGCUUAUUGUUUUAAUUCCAAGUGGGUGUGUGAUAUGCACAAUUGGUUAUAUGAGUCUGGAGUCCAUAGAAGAGACUAGAGUAGAACAUAUAAUUUUGGAACAUAGUAUGAAGUACCAUGGGGGUAAAUACCAACCAACACACACAGAACUGGAUAAUAAUGAAAAAUCUGCCUUUCAUGCAAGCUUGUAGAUUCCAAGCAAUUCAAGCAGUCCCUAAUGGUAAUUUUAUGGCCAAAGGGUAUAUACUGUAUGUAAAAUGAAAGAUUGAAAAUAAAUGCAAUAAUUUAAUAAAUAAAUAAAUAAUAAAUAAUACUGUAAGGAAAAGAGACUAUAGAUUGGUGGAAGACAAAACAAGUGAUAGAAAAAUCAAUUUAAAAGUCAAGUUAUAUGUACAAAAGACUUGCCCAAAAUAAAGACAAAUGCAUGAACUAAAAAAAAAUUUGUAGGAUGUACUUAAUGUCACUGAAUUAUACACUAAAAAUAUUUAAAAUGUGAAUUUUAUAUGACUCCAAUAAAAUGAGCAAUAAAAGAGACAUACCAUAGGAACAGUACAUAAUCAUAUCUUUUUUUCCUGUUGUCUAAGAAUUUCAAAAAAUAAUCCAAAACAGUGUGAAAAAUUAUAAGUGAAGAAAGUUAUUUAAAACAUGAACAAUUCCUUUUUGUUGUUGUUUGGGGAUGGUUUGAGAUUGGUUCUCACUAUGUAGCUAUAGUUUUCCUUAGUUAUGAUAGAAGGUAAAUUAGAUACAGAACUUUGGACUCACCAAGAUAGGAUAAAUAAUGGAGUAUUUUCUCUGAAAUUGCCAAAUACAAAUGGAUUGAACAUUAUAAAUAUAAUUCUUACCUGAGAAUUGUUCUUAUUGUAUAUAGUUUUACUGUGUUAAUAUUAAAUCCUUUCCUUUUUAGACACAAAGGGGGAAAUGUUGCAGAAUAAUCUUUCUGUACACUGUGAAUAUGUGUCUUUGCCAAGGCACCUUCUGAUUGGUUUAAUAAAAAGCUAAAUGAACAUUAGCUAGGCAGGAGGUGUAUGUGGGAGAGAGACAGAGAGAACUCUGGGAAGAAGAAAGGUGGAGUCACCAGCAGAUGAGAGGGAAUGGAAAUGCAAGAAAAGUGGUAAAAGCCAUAAAUUACAUGGCAACAUGUAGAUGAAUAGAGAUGGGUUAAUUUAAGUUAUAAGUGCUAGUUAGAAACAAGCCUAAGCUAUUGGCCAAGCUUUUAUAAUUAAUAAGAAGUCUCCAUGUCAUUAUUUGGGAUCUGGCGGGAGGGACUGAAAAAUCUGCCUACACACGUUUGUAAAAAUGUUCUUUUACCAUAAAGACUCCAUGAAAUUACUUCCACAUUGGAACAUGGAUUUGAGGGCACCUAAAUCCCUUUUACAAGGCCAUGGUCACUCAAAUUUGACUCCAAAUUUGACUAUCUUAGAUCAUGUCAUGAAGAAACUUUCUGAUUACCUUUUACCUAUAAUAAGUCAUAAGACACUCCUCAUUCCAAAGGGAUCUGUGCUGCUCAGAGAAGCCAAGAAGAAUCUGAACAGGACAGUCAUUGCUAGGGUUUCUCCACAGUGUAGGUGCUCUAUCCCUAAAAUACUAAUUAGAUGUGUAAUAGUGAAAUGCAGAGAGAGAUUUAUUCAAUGUGACCAUAUUGGGAAGAGGAACAGAUACCCCCAAGUCUAUCUCUUGGGUACCCACAUGAGCUUUAGGUUUAAAUAGAGGAAGACUGGGGCAAGGGGCAGGAGGUGUGCAUAAUUAAGCAGGUCUCCUUUGAGUGUUACCUAGUUGACCAUAUUGCCUCAGUUCUGGUUCUGCAGGGUGGUCUGAAGAAGUCCUUAUUGCUGUAAGUGCUUGAGAGAUUCAGUCUGGCUCACUGGAGUUGGUUACUUCUAUACUUAGUGCGCAGCUGUGCUAUCAUAGAGAAUUGCCCUCAUCUGAGGGAACGUCCUUCCUGUGAGGUUCUGCUGUUCCUAAAACCCAUGGUGAUUGUAGGUUUAGGACACUAACUUGUCUCUGUGCCUUAAAGAGAGGUGAAUGACGCAUGGAGGCACUCCUUGAAUGAUGAACAUGCUUGUGUGCAGAGGUUCACAGGUAGCCCAAAGGAAAGGGGGAAAGACACAAAAAACGAAGGCAGAAAUGCCAGGUUUUCUCCUCUUGGUAUCUUCCUGUUGAAGGUACAUAGUUUUCUUUUUCUUUUUUUGUUUUAAUUAUUUUGAGACUAUGUAACCCAGGCUGUCCUGGAAUUCUCUAUGUAAACUAGGCUGGCCUUGAACUCAAGAAGAUCUGCCUGCCUCUGCCUCCAGAGUGCUGGGAUAAAAGCAUACCCCACUACACUCAGUUAGUACGUAUUUCUUGAAUAAAGGAAAAUUCAGUGUCCCACAAAGUGAAAUAGAAACAAACACUUUGCAUCGUUUUGGGGGAAAUAAAAAUUCACACACUUUCAGGUUUGUGUAGUUAAAAGGACGGGGAAGGAAGCCAAGAAGAUGAAUGACAGAGGUUUUCAGAUCACUCAUCUAUACUGAAUCUCCCAGGCAACUGCAAUGAAAAAAAUGGCCGUGGUGCCCACAGCAUGGGUUUCUUUUGAAAUUUACCUACUUUCUGAGGAAAAUUAUGGCUGCACAAAGUGUAAACCCGAGGAAGUCACCCAAAACCAUAGCAUAAGACUGUGAAAAGGUGAGCAGCCAAGGCAGAAAUAAUCUUAUAAUCUGGGAUUCAGGAUAGAUUUGAGAGUGUUAGAGAAGAGGAAAAAGCUGUAAACUUGAAAGAGGGUUAAGGAGGAUCCUCUAGCUGUGGAGGUCUGAGGGACCUAGGCAGGAAGAGGGAGGGGAUUACCACCCCCCCAACACACACACACACACACACACACACACACACACACACACACACACACACACACACACACACACUUUAGCUCCUGAGAUACGGAAGUGAGUGUGAGAAGCCCAGAAUUAUUCCAGAAGGAUGCAAUAAAUGGGUCCCUUGAACCUUUGCCCCUGGCAAGUUCUCAGCCAAAGGAUCCCAGGAACACAAGCCCUUCUACUCUCCUCCUGGUCUUGAAAGUUAAGGAGGCUGAGGCUUUUGGAUAACAUGAAGUGCUGGAGCAGGGGAGGUGGUAAUGGGCUGUGGGAUGUUCUGUAUGUUAAAUGUAUUACUCUGAUUGGUUAAUAAAUAAAACACUGAUUGGCCAGUAGCCAGGCAGGAAGGAUAGGCAGGACAAGGAGAGAGGAGAUUUCUGGGAAGUGGAAGGCUGAGGCAGAGAGACGCUGCCAGCCACCACCAUGAGAAGAUGUUAAGAUACCGGUAAGCCACGGGCUACGUGGCAACUUAUAGAUGAAUAGAAAUGGGUUGAUUUAAGAUAGAAGAACCAGAUAACAAGAAGCCUGCUGCAGCCAUACAGUUUGUAAGCAAUGUAAGUCUCUGUGUGUUUACUCGGUUGGGUCUAAGCGGCUGCGGAAUGGCGGGUGAGAGAGAUUUGUUCUGACUGUGGGCCAGGCAGGACCAGAAAACUCCAGCUACAAUAAUGGGCAGAGCAAAGACGAUUAACUCCUCCUUCAUCAUCAAGAAAUGAGUGUGGCAGCUGGGCGGUGGUGGUGCACGCCUUUAAUCCCAGCACUCGGGAGGCAGAGCCAGGCGGAUCUCUGUGAGUUCGAGGCCAGCCUGGGCUACAGAGUGAGUUCCAGGAAAGGCGCAAAGCUAUACAGAGAAACCCUGUCUCGAAAAACCAAAAAAAAGAAAGAAAAAGAAAUGAGUGUGGCUUCAGCAAAGGGGGAGAAAAUGAUAUUGGUGGGGGGAGGUGAAACAGGACCAGAGGGCCAGACCCAAGUAGAGCCAAGUAGGGUGAUUCUAGCAGAAGCACUGGAAGGCAAGUUGUGAGUGCGGCAUCCCAGAGAAGCCUGGAUAGGUUGCAUGUAGCAGCUGGCCCCUACUCCUCACUCGGGGCCUCAGCCUGAGCUCCCAUUGUCCCUAUGGAGUGGGCCAUAGAGCCUACUAACAUAACCCGAGUCUCAACCACAGACCACAGUGACCUAGGUUCUGUGUGAAACUUGCUGUCUACAAUUGUUACUAGACUUCCUGUUUCUGCCUGCCUUCCAUCCUGAUCAGCAUGAGCUCUCUCUGUCCUUGUUUCUACCUGGCCAGCUGUGUGCUUCCUCUCCCUGACAUGCCAGCUGCCACAGCUGCACACUCUCUCUUGGACCUGUGCAAACCCUAUUAUAUUGGGGUAAAACGAUCCAGAUUGAGGCUGCAGAGAUAUCUCAGCAGUUAAGAGCACUUUAUGUCCUUGAAGACCUAGAUUUAGUUCUAGUACCUACCCCUUAGAAGCUCCAGUUCCAGGGGAUCUGACACCCUCUUCCGGCCUCUAUAGGCUCAUAAUAUAUGCAGGCAAAUGUCAGAGACCAAACAUGGACCAUGGAAAAGUACUAGCUAAGCCAGAGAACAAGCCCCUACCCUAAACCGGAUGCCCCCAAAGAUAAAGAACAGGUCAGGCAGGUCAGGUAGCAUAGCAACAGAACAAUGGGCCCUGACCAGUGACCUUACCACCUAGCAGCCUCACGACUUGCACGACUUGCACGUAGCCCCUCACCUGCACGUCCCCCUUCACCUGCACGUAUGGCACGUCGUGCACCCCUUCCCUCCUCCCCUCCCCCUCCCAUGCUAUAUAAGCCCUGCUGAGGAGAAUAAAAUUUGCAGCUUGAUCAGAA